UUCCUUGGCGUUGAAAUUGUCAUAUCUUAAUGGAAAUUUUCAUAUCUUAAUGCAGCACCUCGAUGGAAUGGUGUUUCUACAAUUAUACCAAAGCUGUUAAAUUUCAAGAAAUUGGAUGUGAGGGUGGCCCUGGUGUGGGAGGCGGCGCGGCCUCGGCAGAAGGACCAGUCGAAGUCCAGUGUGGCAGGGAGCAAGAAGGGAGGGAAUUUUUUUUUGGGUCGAUUGUUGCUGUUCUGGGUUGGUUACCACAUCAAAUAAGUUGUGUUCUCCUUUAAGCUCUCGAUCUCUUGACGGCGCUGCUGCUACUGGUGACAUGGUUUGAAAUAGGGCAUCUUGGGUAAUGAUUUGAUUACCAAAGAUUUCGAUUUGCUGUGAAGGGCACAAUUAUUUGAGCACGUAAGGCAACAAAGGUGCAUGGUCUCAUGAAGAGGGCAUUCUUUUAUGUGAGGUUCAUGGAUAUCAUCUGAUGGAUAUUCUCAUAUUUCUAUAAAUGGAUAUCAUUGAUCGCAUCCAUAAGUUUACAAAUGAUCAUCCACAAGGUUGAGCGAGCUCAAGCAGCAAGCAGCCAAUACGAGAAGACUUAGUAGUUCAUCUUUGUAUUAAGAUGCAACAAGCAUCUGCUAUGGUUUCUGAAACGGCACCAUUCUCUGCAAUGCAGCAAAAUAAUCUGGACAAACUUUGCUGAGUUUGGAUGGAAACAAAUAAAGU